rnacentral:lncRNA from 1 species
UGAGUGUCACGUGAACAAUGCGUAUCCGGGAGACUUUAAAAAUCGACACCAUUAUAGCUGUUUUUACUUUGUUGAAGUAGUAUAGAAGAAUGGGACCGAAAAAAACAACGUUUCAACGUUUUUUUGGAUCAAAAAGGAAAUCGAGGAAACAACAAUUAAGUGCUGCACGGAAGAAAUUAAAGCGCUCGUCACACAGUGAUGACGAACAUGUCACUAACAACGAAUCUUCCGAGAUAGAUAAAUCUGAGGUUGAAUCAGCAUUACAACGAAAGUUUAGAUUAUUUGAGCAAGAACUGAACAAUAAUGGAGCAAUUAAUAACGAAAAGUUUUCCGACUCAGACGUUUCCGGUUAUUUCAGAACGUUUGAAACAACGACAAGCAGC